AUUGAACGCUGGCGGCAGGCCUAACACAUGCAAGUCGAGCGGAGCGGCGGACGGGUGAGUACUGCCUAGGAAUUUGCCUGGUGGUGGGGGAUCACGUCCGGAAACGGGCGCUAAUACCGCAUCCUUUCAGAUGAGCCUAGGUCGGCUUAGCUGGUUGGUGGGGUAGAGGCCUACCCAGGCGACGAUCCGUAACUGGCCCGAGAGGAUGAUCAGUCACACUGGAACUGAGACACGGUCCAGACUCCUACGGGAGGCAGCAGUGGGGAAUGUUGGGAAAUGGGCGAAAGCCUGAUCCAGCCAGGCCGCGUGUGUGAAGAAGGUUUUCGGAUUGUAAAACACUUUAAGUUGGGAGGCGUUACCAGCAGAAUAAGCACCGGCUAACUUCGUGCCAGCAGCCGCGGUAAUUC
rnacentral:rRNA from 1 species